rnacentral:rRNA from 1 species
GUAGGCUGCAACCCGCCUACAUGAAGUUGGAAUUGCUAGUAAUCGCAGAUCAGAAUGCUGCGGUGAAUACGUUCCCGGGCCUUGUACACACCGCCCGUCACACCAUGGGAGCCGGUAAUACCCGAAGUCAGUAGUCUAACCGCAAGGGGGACGCUGCCGAAGGUAGGAUUGGCGACUGGGGUGAAGUCGUAACAAGGUAUC